rnacentral:RNase_P_RNA from 1 species
AGGUUGGACAGCCGCGGAUGGGAACCGAAAGGACCCAGAUGAGGAAAGUCCGGGCUCCACAGGGCAGGGAUAACGGGUAACGCCCGCCGAGGGAAACCUCAGGACAAGUGCAACAGAGAGAUACCGCCCCGCGUCAGCGGAGCAAGGGUGAAAAGGUGCGGUAAGAGCGCACCCGGCCCAUGGUAACAUGGGUUUUACGAUGUAAACUCUAUCCCGGAGCAACGCCGUGGAGGGACAAAAGGUCUGCCCGACCGUCCCGAGGAGGCGGCUUGACCCCGUGAGCAAUUGCGGGGCUAGAUAGAUGGCUGUCAAAACAGAACCCGGCUUACAGACCUUC